rnacentral:rRNA from 1 species
CCUACGGGUGGCAGCAGUAGGGAAUAUUGCUCAAUGGGGGAAACCCUGAAGCAGCAACGCCGCGUGAAGGAUGAAGGUUUUCGGAUUGUAAACCCCUUUUGUUAGAGAAGAAAAUGACGGUAUCUAACGAAUAAGCCCCGGCUAACUCCGUGCCAGCAGCCGCGGUAAUACGGAGGGUGCAAGCGUUACUCGGAAUCACUGGGCGUAAAGAGAGCGUAGGCGGGAGAGCAAGUCAGAUGUGAAAUCCUAGGGCUUAACCAUAGAACUGCAUUUGAAACUGUUAUUCUAGAGUAUAGGAGAGGUAGGUGGAAUUCUUGGUGUAGGGGUAAAAUCCGUAGAUAUCAAGAGGAAUACUCAUGGCGAAGGCGACCUGCUAGAACAUAACUGACGCUGAUGCGCGAAAGCGUGGGGAGCAAACAGGAUUAGAUACCCCGGUAGUC